UACGUAGGUGGCAAGCGUUGUCCGGAUUUACUGGGCGUAAAGAGUGCGCAGGCGGUCGUUCAAGUCGCGUGUGAAAGCCCCCGGCUCAACUGGGGAGGGUCACGCGAUACUGAUCGACUCGAAGGCAGGAGAGGGUAGUGGAAUUCCCGGUGUAGUGGUGAAAUGCGUAGAUAUCGGGAGGAACACCAGUGGCGAAGGCGACUACCUGGCCUGUUCUUGACGCUGAGGCGCGAAAGCUAGGGUAGCAAACGGG
rnacentral:rRNA from 1 species